GUCGGGAUAGCUCAGCUGGUAGAGCAGAGACUGAAAUC
rnacentral:tRNA from 7 species